rnacentral:rRNA from 1 species
AUUGAACGCUGGCGGCAUGCCUUACACAUGCAAGUCGAACGGUAACAGGUCUUCGGAUGCUGACGAGUGGCGAACGGGUGAGUAAUACAUCGGAACGUGCCCGAUCGUGGGGGAUAACGGAGCGAAAGCUUUGCUAAUACCGCAUACGAUCUACGGAUGAAAGCAGGGGACCGCAAGGCCUUGCGCGGACGGAGCGGCCGAUGGCAGAUUAGGUAGUUGGUGGGAUAAAAGCUUACCAAGCCGACGAUCUGUAGCUGGUCUGAGAGGACGACCAGCCACACUGAGACUGAGACACGGCCCAGACUCCUACGGGAGGCAGCAGUGGGGAAUUUUGGACAAUGGGCGAAAGCCUGAUCCAGCCAUGCCGCGUGCAGGAUGAAGGCCUUCGGGUUGUAAACUGCUUUUGUACGGAACGAAAAGACUCUUUCUAAUAAAGAGGGUCCAUGACGGUACCGUAAGAAUAAGCACCGGCUAACUACGUG